rnacentral:rRNA from 1 species
CGGGGGGGGCAAGCGUUGUUCGGAAUUACUGGGCGUAAAGGGUUCGUAGGUGGCUAGCUAAGUCAGACGUGAAAUCCCUCAGCUUAACUGGGGAACUGCGUCCGAUACUGGCAAGCUUGAGUGCAGGAGAGGAACGCGGAAUUCCAGGUGUAGCGGUGAAAUGCGUAGAUAUCUGGAGGAACACCGGUGGCGAAGGCGGCGUUCUGGACUGCAACUGACACUGAGGAACGAAAGCCAGGGGAGCAAACGGGAUUAGAUACCCCGGUAGUCCUGGCCCUAAACGAUGAAUGCUUGGUGUGGCGGGUAUCGAUCCCUGCCGUGCCGCAGUUAACGCGUUAAGCAUUCCGCCUGGGGAGUACGGUCGCAAGGCUG